ACAUGUUCAAUGCAGGGAUGACCACAGCUAGAUUUUCUAGAGGGCAGCUGUCUGUGACCUGAGAUAUUAAAGAGACUGCCUCUUCCAUGCACUGAAUUUUCUUCUUGCUUUUUAUGUGCAGGUAUCAUAAGGAAACCAAACUGCAUUUGUAUCUGCACUGCAAUCAGGAUAGCAAAGGGAGCAGCUGAGGGCUGGCAUUCCCCAUGCAGAAGGCAGACAGCUGUGGCUGGUAAUCCCCUGAACUGCCACUGUAGGUUUUGAUAAAGCUUCUCUGGCAGAGCUCUUUGUGCUCUACCACCUUAAAAGGUAAACAACCAGGCAGUUCCUACUAUAAGCAGAAGAUGUGUGAUCACACCUGUUGCCCAGUCUCAGCAAAGUUUCUCAGCACUUACUACCUACAGGUAGUACUGCUACAGGUCAAUAUAUUAGAUAGUUUCUUUUACCAUUGUGCCAUUGGAUAUACUUUUUGAAUGAACAUAAGAAGAAGAAACAAAAAUUGGUGAGUACAAGAAAAGCCUUUUCUAUUGAACAUUUCACUGAGUAUAACUGAGUAUAAUUCAACUGUACAUUCACUAGAGCACAAUAUCUGGAAAACACUGAGAAUAAGUGAACAAUGGCAACAAUGGCAA